CUUUAUAAACAUUUGAACAUGAAAGUGUCAGUAUCGUCAAAAAACAAAAUUGUCAGUUUUUACUAAGCACUAAUAAUUCAAUAAACUAGCUUAUUUGCUAUUAGAAAAUGCUACUUUAUGCGAAAAGCUAUUUCACGAAAUUAUCACGAUAUGCAAUGGUUACUCUAGCAAACCUUCAUUCUACUUCAAAGUGACCCAUGUUUUCUGUUAAUCACAAGAUCCAACGGUCAAUACUGAUCCGUGAUAAAUUCAUGAUAAGACUUUUCGCUUUAAAUAGCAAAGCUCUUUGCUAUAAGCUAAAAGAAAAGUUAGCUUAUAAGUUAUUCACUAUAACUUCAUCCGUUAUAAGCUAGCUUAUCAGAAUAUUGUAUUUAACUCAUAUUAUAGACUAGAUACUUUUGUUGUUCAAUGAAUCUAAAACGUAAAAUUUUCUCUUAUAUUUAAGAAUAGAAGAGAGUACUUAACAUGUGCCCUUAGAUAUUAAAGUUUAUAUUGAAAAAAACAAAAUUUUGAUUUUGAAAAAGUUUGAAUGCUAUUCACUAUAACUUUAUCCGCUAUAAGCUAGCUUAUCAGUUAUCUAUUACUUUUAACAAAACAUAGCCUUAAUUGUUCUUAACAAGCUCCACCCAUUUGCACUCCACAUAUAUUUUUGUUACAAAUUACAAUCCCUAAACCACAAUAAACGAGUCUAAGUGAAGUUCAACCUCCAAAAUAUCCUAUAGUUUUAGUAAGCAACAAUCCCUUCAAGGCUCUCUACAAUUUUGCAAUAUAUGCACCAAGUAUAGCCGAGAUGCUUUGAAACACCACAAAUCCACUACCUAUUUGCAUCACAAAGAAGACCGCCACAUUCAACUCGACCAUCCAACCCAAUGUCGGUGGCAUCCACCAAACUAAAACAUCCACAAGGGCAUGCGAAUGAAGGAAUAAGAACUUAUUAUACAAAGCGUUCGGAUUUUGUCAAACCCGACCCAAACCAACCCAUGAACACUCUAGUGAAACUUCUAUAAGUUGCUACGUGUUGAGGGAUAAAUACAUAAAUCGAAUCAUCAUUUAAAAAUAAUAUUGAAGUAUAACGAUCAAAGAUUUGGCAAGUACAUUCUUUCUGAAAAGGAACUAUUGCUAAGAUUUUUAUUGUUUUAG
rnacentral:lncRNA from 1 species